GAUAAACGCUGGCGGCGUGCCUUAUGCAUGCAAGUCGUACGCGUCCAAGGCUUCGGCCUGAAGACGAGUGGCGGACGGGUGAGUAACACGUACGUGACCUGUCCAGAAGUGGGGAAUAACCAGCCGAAAGGUUGGCUAAUACCGCAUGUGGUCACCCCUUGGAAGGGGAUGCCCAAAGCCGCAAGGCGCUUCUGGAGGGGCGUGCGGCCGAUUAGCUUGUUGGUGUGGUAACGGCGCACCAAGGCUGUGAUCGGUAGCUGGUCUGAGAGGAUGGUCAGCCACACUGGGACUGAGACACGGCCCAGACUCCUACGGGAGGCAGCAGCAGGGAAUUUUGGCAAUGGGCGAAAGCCUGAACCAGCAACGUCGCGUGGGGAUGAAGGCUCUUGGGUCGUAAA
rnacentral:rRNA from 1 species